UUCUGCGCAGCGUGAUACUCGUUAUCGAAGGAAAAAAAGCAAAUGUAAUUUCGUGAUGAAUGCUUGGCCCGCUGUGUUCGAUAACUAAAAUCGUUCUUUGUGACUGCUUGAAGAUGCUGAAAUAGAGACUGCAAACAAAGAACGGAAGUCUCACAGCCGUGACGGAUGAAUCCGUUCUGCCGCCUAAAAACAGGCUUUUAAUACCGAGACGGAAACUUUUUAGCUUUUUUAAUGUGUUUAUUUCCUUUCGUACGAGGAAGUCAUAUAUCAGGUGUUCCCUAAUUUACAAUAAAAAUGGGGUCAUGAGGAGAUUCUGUGGCUCAAAAUAAGACAAAACUCAAGAUUGACGAAAUUGCGUUGCAGGCUUCAUUUUUGAAAAAGUCGAAUUUGAACAUUUUUUUAUUAAUUGUCCUACUUUCGCAGCUACUUUCGGAUCUUUAUAAAACAGUCUGAUCAGACAGAAACACAGAUGCGAUCAUGCCCAAGAAUAUUUCCACAAAUUAUACUGCUUGAGAUUAUUAGUGAAGGAAACACAAUCGUAUGUUAUUAAGGCCAUGUGAUCAAACACAAUCUACGAUUAAUUACGAAAAUAUGGAUCGAUUAAACAUUAAACAAGCAAAAGAGCGCUGGUUUCGGUCGAAUCAACAUGAUUUAUCAAAAUCACUGCGAUUGCUAUUUGCAUUGGGACUAUUGUCGUGCACGUUACGCAAGAACGUGUUUGCACCACAUAAACGGGAAAUCGAUUUGUAUUUUACCUUUCACGCCAGCUCGCUUCGCCGAAAGAAUUCGUUCAAUUUCUCGUUGCAACACUAUUGUGCGACGAAUCAUCGUUUGCACGACUCUUUCGAGAUUAUGCAUACGUUUCGCUCGAGUAAACCAAUGACUCGUUCGUCGACGAAUCUACUCUCCUUGUCGCGCUGGAUACAGUUAUGCUUGCAAAGCGAAUGCCGAGAAUAAGACGAAUCAUGCAAUGACGCAAAUUUUGCGUAUUUUUUGUUUGGAUUGUUAAGGUGAAAAAAUCCUCUAUUAAAUUAAUGGAUGAACUUUUUAAGGACUAAGUUAAUUUAAUACAUAAAUAUUCUUUCCUGCAGUAUUUAAUUCAGUUUGUUAAUGCAUCAGCAAAGUACAAAAACUAUCAAAGGAUGUAAUUAUUUUAAGACCGGGUUGCAUCGUCGUCUUUUAUGGAAAAAGGCCCUUUUAAGGAGUGUAUACACAACAUCUCCAUGUGGAUUCCAUAUACGCCGUGAGGACAAAAAGAGGUCUCGGAUGUCAGACGAAGGUCGGCGUUGGACAAAAGACAAAUACAUAAACUUUAUCUAAAAAAGAGAAAGCACACACGAGGUAAAAUUAAUAAUUAAAUAAUGCAGAAGAAUUGAAAGAAAAACUUUUCUUCUAAAAAAAAAGAAAAAGAAGAGAAACUAUACUUUAACUAUAUAUAUCACAUAUAUAACUAUAAUUAUUUGCAAGGUGUUACAUAUAAAUUUGCUUAUAAAUAUAUAUAGAACAUAAUACAUAGAUUAAAGAAUCUGUAUAGAAGAUAAUACUAAGAAUAAUACAAUGCAGGGAAAAAAUGCAGGAAGAAAAUAAUGUCACUUAAAAGAUAACAUGCAAGAUAAGAUAUCUUCCAAAAGUCACGUUAAUGGGACAACCAUACUAUCAACUCGAUUGUCCACAGAACCUACGUAACAAAGAAGGAAUUACGAAGCUUUUGAGUUAUGUAACGUUAGAAUUUCUAGGAAUGGUAGAAAAUGACUACUGCAUUAAAUAUCAGUACCCCAUGCCAGCAAAAUGAUGAAUUAGUCAACAGAUCAAAUGAGACGGACAAAUUAAAUUUCAUCUUCACUUAAUUAUCCGAGGAGCAGAAAUUAGGUCUGGCUCGAUGUUUCAAACAGGGUCAAUGAAUGCUCCGUUGAUACGCGCAAGAAUACAUAUUCACUUUUCCUCUGUAUCUAUGAUCGCAAUUUAAUCCGCAAAACCGGCGUUAUUAAUAGAAUCUCAUAGAAGAGAUCCAGACACUGUAUGGAGCACAGAGAAUAUGUAAUCCCCGAAGAAUAUCACGAGUCUUGUUUUAUGCCGCAAAACCGAAUUUGAAUAUAUUCAUUUAUUACAGCGAUAUUUUGAAUUAGACACUAGAACAAUUCUCAUAAACAGUUGUUAGUUGGAGUUAUAGAAAAAAUGAGUCAUAAGCUUGUUAUCAGUAUUGUCAAUAUCUUGAAGAGUCUCAACAAACGAAGGAUUAGUUUAACAGUGGAAAUUGAACCGAUGUCAACGCCGCUUGUUGGCUGUUCUUAUAUUCUUCAUUUUUAUUGCUCCAACUGAUCAGUUUAGAUGUCAUAAAUACAUAGACAGUUUGCAGUAGAAUUGGACAGAAUAGAAUAGGAUGGUUGUAUUAAUUGCUUCCCGUUGUGAAAGUUCGUGUCCACAAAAAUUCUUGGAAAUCAAAUAAAGUAUCGAGCAUAGCGUAGGUUUCGAAGCGACCGACCAGUCCACGGUCAUCGUCGUGGAACGAAGGAAAAGGAAGAAAAAAGAUAAUUCUGCUGAUCAAACGGUAUCACUGGUGCAGUACACGUAGAUCAGCGUUGGUUAUUGUUGCAUCGUCAGCUGUGACUAGAAAUUUUAUGGUAAACACAGUCAAAUCACAAAAGAGAGGAUGUUCUAGUAGAGGACAGAAUAUUAACUCUGUGCACUUUAAUAUUUCUUUGCAAAUAUAUGAUUGUUUGAGUAAACAUUUUUGUAAAGUAUUUUAUUUGAUACUGUGAAGUUACGUGUUAUGAGAUAAAAGCUG